rnacentral:lncRNA from 1 species
UGCUGCAGUGAUGCAUCUUUACAGUUCAUUUAAAUAUCUCCUUCAACCUCAGAAUAUUAAUCACUCUGUUAACUAACGCAGUUUGGGUUCAGUUUCCCUCACUACAAGAGCUCAAGGACCCCUGGGUGUUUCCUCAAGCACACCUUGGUGUUCUGGACCCCACAGAAAUCCCUGGUAGGGUCUCCAGCUCACUGCUGGCAACAGACAGCAUUGUUUGUUCAUGGACAAUAAGCACUGUGUAACCCACAGUUACUGGACAGUAAGCACUGGGGAGACUGUACCCCAAAUUCUGUGCUCAGUUUUGGGCACCUCAUGAUGUGAAAGACACUGAGGUGCUGGAGCAAGUCCAGGGAGCUGAGGAAGGGGCUGGAGCACAAGUCCUGCGAGGAGUGGCUGAGUGAGCCGGGGGGCUCAGCCUGGAGAAAAGGACAUUCAGAGGGGACCUUAUCACUCUCUAAAACUCUGACAGAAAGUUGUAGCCAGGUAAAGGUCAAUAUCUUAUCCCACUUAACAAGAGACUGAACAAGAAGAAAUGGGCUCAAGUUGUGCUAGAACAGGUUUCAGUUGGAUACUAGGAAAAAUGUCUUCAUGUAAAGGAUGGUCAAGCAUUGGAACAAACUGCCCAGGGAAGUGAAGGAUUCACAAACUUGGAAGCAUUUGAAAGACAUGUAAAUGUGGCACUUAGGGACAUGGUUUAAUGGGGGACUUGGUAGUGCUGGGUUAAUGGUUGAACUUAAUGAUCUUAAAGGUCUUUUUCCACAUAAAUGAUUCUAUGAUUCUGUGAUUUCUUGUCCCCCUCAGAGCUGUCCCCAAAUACUCGAGGGUCAGUCACCACCAUCCCAGAGCAGUCUCCACUUCGGGACCUCUGACAUGGCUGGAAAUGGUCACCAGAGCUGCAUUUAGGCCUGCCAGGAUCUCUGUGCUUGCCUUUGCCUCCUCCCCUCCUGUGGCCCUUGCAGACCAAGGUCCCAGAUCUCCAACCAACAUGAGAGGAGCCUUCAAUGGGAAAAAUAAAGCCUCUUAAAAAGCUCUUCUCUUUCCUAUCUCUUUGUUUUUGUGUCAUCAUAGAACCAUAGAAUGGUUUGGGUUGGAAGAAACCUUCAAGAUCUUCUUGCUCUAAACCCCCUGCCAUAGGCAAGGACAUUUUCCACUACCACAGGUUGCUCAGGGCCCCAUCCAGCCUGGCCUUGAACACCUCCAGGGAUGGGGCAG